rnacentral:rRNA from 1 species
UUUGGUGACGAUAGCAAAGAGGAUACACCUGUUCCCAUCCCGAACACAGUAGUUAAGCUCUUUAGCGCCGUACUGGUGAGUUGGGGGUUUCCCCCUGUGAGAGGUAGGACGUUGCCAAGC